rnacentral:rRNA from 1 species
GACGAACGCUGGCGGCGUGCCUAAUACAUGCAAGUAGAACGCUGAAGGAGGAGCUUGCUUCUCUGGAUGAGUUGCGAACGGGUGAGUAACGCGUAGGUAACCUGCCUGGUAGCGGGGGAUAACUAUUGGAAACGAUAGCUAAUACCGCAUAAUAGCAGUUGUUGCAUGAUAACUGUUUGAAAGGUGCAAUUGCACCACUACCAGAUGGACCUGCAUUGUAUUAGCUAGUUGGUGGGGUAACGGCUCACCAAGGCGACGAUACAUAGCCGACCUGAGAGGGUGAUCGGCCACACUGGGACUGAGACACGGCCCAGACGCCUACGGGAGGCAGCAGUAGGGAAUCUUCGGCAAUGGACGGAAGUCUGACCGAGCAACGCCGCGGGAGUGAAGAAGGUUGUCGGAUCGUAAAGCUCUGUUGUAAGAGAAGAACGAGUGUGAGAGUGGAAAGUUCACACUGUGACGGUAUCUUACCAGAAAGGGACGGCUAACUACGUG